rnacentral:rRNA from 1 species
CAGUAGCCGCGGUAAUACGAAGGGGGCUAGCGUUGCUCGGAAUUACUGGGCGUAAAGGGAGCGUAGGCGGACAUUUAAGUCAGGGGUGAAAUCCCAGAGCUCAACUCUGGAACUGCCUUUGAUACUGGGUGUCUUGAGUGUGAUAGAGGUAUGUGGAACUCCGAGUGUAGAGGUGAAAUUCGUAGAUAUUCGGAAGAACACCAGUGGCGAAGGCGACAUACUGGAUCAUUACUGACGCUGAGGCUCGAAAGCGUGGGGAGCAAACAGGAUUAGAUACCCCCGUAGUCCCUGUCUCUUAUAC